GGGUGGUGAGAGGGAGAAAAGCAAUGGGGCCUCAGCGGGGUGGUGGCUCCAUCACAGAACCUGGGGCUCUGAGAUGCCACCCACCCAUAUGUCACAUGCUGUCCAGCCUCACACCUUUGCCCGCAUGCCUUGCUCCCACCUGGAAGGCCAUUCCAGCUCCUCCUCCCUCCUGUAGACCAAAGACGUCAGAAGCAACAAGCCCAAGGACCCUGGGCUGACAAGGUGGCACUUACAUUGAUAUCCAAGGAAAUGUAGUCCUUAGUGAUGUUGGGCACACUGAUCAUGGAGUAGCGAAUCUGGGACUCUGGACCCACAGGGUUGAGGCCUAAAUGAAAGCGGGAUAAAGAAGAAAACAUGGCAUCCUUAGCCUUACCUACCAAUGCCUCACCUAUCCAGAAAACUCAAUUAUCUGACUACCCAGGCCAAGAAGCCGAGGAGGUCCAGUUUCCUUGACGUCUCGGUGCCUCCUGUUAAGAAACUGGGGGGACGGAGGCCGCCUCACGGGACUGUUGUUGAACGUUUGCCCAAGAAAGCCAAAGCUACCCUGAUACGAAAGUCUUCACUGAAGAACCCACCACAGAUAAACAUGGACCCUGUCGGCCAUCCCUCCGGACCUGACACCAGCAUGCCGCCCUGCCUCCUGUCCCCGCACACCUGUCCCACACCGCGUGACAGCUAAGAGGCCUUGCUCCUAGUAUACUCCCAGUACUCCUGCAUAUGAAGACCCCUGGAAAAAUCAGAGGCCGACAAGCCAGACGGAAGAUGGAGAGGAGAGGGAGGCUCGCCUCUGGAUGGGUGGAUGGCGGCUGAGAAGGCAAGUGGGGGCAGGGGCACUUGGGAGCAGACGAGCUUGAGUUCACGUGCUGAGUCAGAGAAGCCUGCCGGAGAAGGUGUCCAGCGGGAAAUAGAAUACACGAAGCCCCAAACUGCCAGUGGGGAGAGUCUGGCAAAGAACGUGGGAGAUGUGGGAACAAAACCAGGGGACAAUGGGGUCUCUGAGUCUCCAGGCAGGGGAGGAGGCAACUGCAGACUGAAUGUACUCCCCCACCCCGCCCCCACACGCAUGUGCACACUUGCACGCACACGGCAAACAUUCGAAGACAUGAUUCUAGAAUUUGGAGAUUCCCCAAGUCCAUCAAUAAUUGUUCAGUCAUCCUACGGUUGAUCUCCCAGAGGUCAGCCCUGACUGGGGGGCCCUUUGAAGGGUCUUAGGGACCCCAGAAGGGGCUCAGA